GGGGAUUUAGCUCAGCGGCAUAAGCGCCUGCCUUGCAAGCAGGCAGUCGUGAGUUCGAUUCCUGGUACCUA
rfam:Cavia porcellus supercont2_3 genomic scaffold, whole genome shotgun sequence.